AGCGACCCUCACAUUUAUCAUUGUUUUUAUGACGGUGAAAAAAGAGUUACAUUGAAAUCCCAGGAAAACACAAAUUACAUUUAUUGUUCACAACUUCAGUUGAGAACAGAAGAAUGGUAUUUGGUGUUCUUAGAAUUUUAACCGAUGUACCUUUCUCCCACGUAACAAAAAUAAAAAUUCGUUAUUAAACAAAAGAGAAGCCACCUAGGGCACUUGAGGCCACAAAUAUUUAUGGCCAUAGGAAAUAGGGAUCACGAAGGAAAACAAACAUAACGAGAGGGACAUCCUUCCAUAUCUGAUUAGUUCAGAUGUGGAAGGUGAGAAAAAUGGAAUAAAAUAAUAAUAAUAAAACGUGAAGGAAUGCCAGUUAGAAAUAAAAACCGUGGGAGAAGGAAAACAAAAAAAAUCAAGUAGAGACCUCUAGGAGGUGAUACAAAAAUUAACGAAAAACUUGAGGGCGAAAAGCUCACAGCAAAAAGAAAGAGAGAGAAGACAAUGAAAUUAAUCGAGGCGAAUAAUAGAUUGAUAUAAAACUAGGAGUAAGAUCGGAGCUCGGGGUCAGUCCUGAAUGAUCUCGAGUUCGUUUAGAUUGUGUAUCUGAAUAGGAAUAAUAUAAUUGUCUUUAUAUUUAACUAUUCCAUGCUUACAAUUUAAAUGAAAGAAAGAUUCCAUUUCGGGCAAGGCGAUACAAGUGGUGACAAGCGGAAAAAGAAAAAAACAGGACGCCUUUUCUGACUAGUGUAAAAUCAGUGUUUUGAGAAAAAAAAAUUAAUACAGUGCCAAGAAAACGUUUGGAAAUUAUUUUUUUUGAUACAGUGCCUAGAAAAACGUUUGAAAAUUAAAAAUAAUAAUACAGUGCCAAGAAAAUAGAAGAAAAUCCGUUAGUGCCAAGAAAAGUCAAAAAAAUAUAUAUAUAUGGUGCCAAGAAGAAGAUCAUCAAUGAAAUUGCUUUGCCAAAUCUACACACCUAAGAAAAGCCUGGAAAAAGAGAGGGGAAGAGGAUUCCGCAAGCGAAAUCAGUAAGCCAUCCACCGUAAAAUUAGAUAAUCACAUUUCUUAUUUUUUUAGAUAAGCGAGAAAAAAAAAACACACACACACAAAAAAAACGGGUCUGGAACAAACCAAUGAUUAAAAGACGACUGGAGGCUACACAAUUUUUAGAUGCGAGGAUCAUCCACCAACAAACGGCAAGUAACGCAUACAUCGGAGAUCUUUGUACCAUAAACAUAUAUUUAGAUGUUAACACACAUAAAUUCGCCCCGAAAUAAGUUAGGAGAACGUUAGGAAAAUAUUUUGGAAUUUUAGAAAAACAAUUGUAACACAUUCUUAUAGAAAAGCUUAAAAAACAUAAAUGUUUACACGCCCACACAAAUUAUAACACCCACUACACAAAAAAAUUUACGAACCACAAAGCAACCAUAAACCAUGCAUACAUCGGAGAACAACGAGGAUGCCCAUCAACAAAUUUUCGCAAUCUAUUAUGUUUUGAGUCAAGAAUGGAGAGAAAUUAAUUAGACCAAGGUGUAUAAAGCUCACGACAAACAUGGACAGAAAAACGAGAAGCGAAGUAGCAAAACUCAGAAUAAUCAAACGUAACAAAGUACCAUUUGGAUCGCAAUAAGGAAACACUCACGCAAAUAUUAUCCACCACGAGAAGGAAGGAAGACAAUCGCAAUCCAUAUUACAGGAGGAAUGGUGAUAAUCUAACCAAGGAAGAACGUAUUUUUCACCCGCAACACACAAAAUGGAAAAAUAUAAUGGCAAGAGGAGACAGUAGUGACAAAUCGACAGAUAGACGGAAGGUCCUGUCAAACGCAACAUUAUGGUACUCUAUAAACAUGGAAUUAUCUGAGAUAAACAGGAAUGGCAAUAAGGAUUGGUUAACAACUGGAUUAAGUUGAGCAAUAUGCACUGGAAUCUAAUUAAUGGAUUGAAAUUCGAAACCCAAUUCAUUACACUAUUGGCGAAAAUACAAUAAUCAAGACGAAAGAGAGGACAACAACAUUGCAGAAACAACGGAGGCUAUGGUUCCAAACACAUCAAUAGUUAGAAAAAAAAAAAUAUCUACAGACAUGAUUAGGCAAUACAGAAUCUUAGGACCAGCUCUUUGCUUACAGUAGAUGAUCAUCUCUUCUAGACGAACAUCUAGCUGAUAAGUGUGGGGGUAUGUAGCGACCCUCACAUUUAUCAUUGUUUUUAUGACGGUGAAAAAAGAGUUACAUUGAAAUCCCAGGAAGACACAAAUUACAUUUAUUGUUCACAACUUCAGUUGAGAACAGAAGAAUGGUAUUUGGUGUUCUUAGAAUUUUAACCGAUGUACCUUUCUCCCACGUAACAAAAAUAAAAAUUCGUUAUUAAACAAAAGAGAAGCCACCUAGGGCACUUGAGGCCACAAAUAUUUAUGGCCAUAGGAAAUAGGGAUCACGAAGGAAAACAAACAUAACGAGAGGGACAUCCUUCCAUAUCUGAUUAGUUCAGAUGUGGAAGGUGAGAAAAAUGGAAUAAAAUAAUAAUAAUAAAACGUGAAGGAAUGCCAGUUAGAAAUAAAAACCGUGGGAGAAGGAAAACAAAAAAAAUCAAGUAGAGACCUCUAGGAGGUGAUACAAAAAUUAACGAAAAACUUGAGGGCGAAAAGCUCACAGCAAAAAGAAAGAGAGAGAAGACAAUGAAAUUAAUCGAGGCGAAUAAUAGAUUGAUAUAAAACUAGGAGUAAGAUCGGAGCUCGGGGUCAGUCCUGAAUGAUCUCGAGUUCGUUUAGAUUGUGUAUCUGAAUAGGAAUAAUAUAAUUGUCUUUAUAUUUAACUA